rnacentral:tRNA from 2 species
GGCUUCGUGGUUUAGUGGUAUAAUUCUCGCUUAGGGUCACACCCCGAGCACCGCAUGCGAGAGGUCCCGGGUUCGAUCCCCGGCGAAGCCC